GGCCGUGUGGCUCAAUGGCAGAGCGUCUGACUACGAUUGCCGCAUCAAUGCAAGGGUGCGAUAUCACAGAUAAUCAGAAGGUCGCAGGUUCGACCCCUGUCUCGGUCA